UUAUGGCUCAGGAUGAACGCUAGCUACAGGCUAACACAUGCAAGUCGAGGGGCAGCAUGGAGGUAGCUUGCUACCUCUGAUGGCGACCGGCGCACGGGUGAGUAACGCGUAUCCAACCUGGCCCUUAGUAGGGGAUAGCCCGGCGAAAGUCGGAUUAAUACCCUAUGUUAUCGAAGAUGACAUCAGACUUGGAUCAAAGAUUAAUCGCUAAGGGAUGGGGAUGCGUCUGAUUAGCUUGAUGGCGGGGUAACGGCCCACCAUGGCGACGAUCAGUAGGGGUUCUGAGAGGAAGGUCCCCCCACAUUGGAACUGAGACACGGUCCAAACUCCUACGGGAGGCAGCAGUGAGGAAUAUUGGUCAAUGGUCGCGAGACUGAACCAGCCAAGUAGCGUGCAGGAAGACGGCCCUAUGGGUUGUAAACUGCUUUUAUGCGGGGAUAAAGUGGGCCACGUGUGGCCCUUUGCAGGUACCGCAUGAAUAAGGACCGGCUAAUUCCGUGCCAGCCGCUGC
rnacentral:rRNA from 1 species